rnacentral:rRNA from 1 species
CCUACGGGUGGCAGCAGUAGGGAAUCUUCCACAAUGGGCGAAAGCCUGAUGGAGCAACGCCGCGUGGGUGAAGAAGGUCCUCGGAUCGUAAAACCUUGUUGUUAGAGAAGAAAGUGCGUGAGAGUAACUGUUCACGUUUCGACGGUAUCUAACCAGAAAGCCACGGCUAACUACGGGCCAGCAGCCGCGGUAAUACGUAGGUGGCAAGCGUUAUCCGGAUUUAUUGGGCGUAAAGGGAACGCAGGCGGUCAUUUAAGUCUGAUGUGAAGGCGUUCGGCUUAACCAGAGUAGUGCAUUGGAAACUGGGAGACUUGAGUGCGGGAGAGGAGAGUGGAACUCCAGGUGUAGCGGUGAAAUGCGUAGAUAUAAGGAAGAACACC